rnacentral:rRNA from 1 species
UACGUAGGGGGCAAGCGUUGUCCGGAUUUAUUGGGCGUAAAGAGCGUGUAGGCGGCUUUACAGGUCCGUUGUGAAAACUCGAGGCUCAACCUCGAGAUGUCGGCGGAAACCACUUGGCUAGAGUCCGGAAGAGGAGAGUGGAAUUCCCGGUGUAGCGGUGAAAUGCGCAGAUAUCGGGAAGAACACCUAUGGCGAAGGCAGCUCUCUGGGACGGUACUGACGCUGAGACGCGAAAGCGUGGGGAGCAAACAGG